rnacentral:rRNA from 1 species
UGGGGAAUCUUCCGCAAUGGACGAAAGUCUGACGGAGCAACGCCGCGUGAGUGAUGACGGUCUUCGGAUUGUAAAGCUCUGUUAAUCGGGACGAAUGGUUUAUGUGCAAAUAGUGCAUAGACAUGACGGUACCGGAAUAGAAAGCCACGGCUAACUACGUGCCAGCAGCCGCGGUAAUACGUAGGUGGCAAGCGUUGUCCGGAAUUAUUGGGCGUAAAGCGCGCGCAGGCGGACUAGCCAGUCAGUCUUAAAAGUUCGGGGCUUAACCCCGUGAUGGGAUUGAAACUACUAGUCUAGAGUAUCGGAGAGGAACGUGGAAUUCCUAGUGUAGCGGUGAAAUGCGUAGAUAUUAGGAAGAACACCAGUGGCGAAGGCGACUUUCUGGACGAACACUGACGCUGAGGCGCGAAAGCCAGGGGAGCGAACGGG